rnacentral:rRNA from 1 species
AUUGAACGCUGGCGGCAUGCCUUACACAUGCAAGUCGAACGGCAGCGCGGACUUCGGUCUGGCGGCGAGUGGCGAACGGGUGAGUAAUACAUCGGAACGUACCCUGUUGUGGGGGAUAACUAGUCGAAAGAUUAGCUAAUACCGCAUACGACCUGAGGGUGCAAGUGGGGGACCGCAAGGCCUCACGCAGCAGGAGCGGCCGAUGUCUGAUUAGCUAGUUGGUGGGGUAAAGGCCCACCAAGGCGACGAUCAGUAGCUGGUCUGAGAGGACGAUCAGCCACACUGGGACUGAGACACGGCCCAGACUCCUACGGGAGGCAGCAGUGGGGAAUUUUGGACAAUGGGGGCAACCCUGAUCCAGCAAUGCCGCGUGUGUGAAGAAGGCCUUCGGGUUGUAAAGCACUUUUGUCCGGAAAGAAAUCGCGCUGGUUAAUACCUGGCGUGGAUGACGGUACCGGAAGAAUAAGCACCGGCUAACUACGUGCCAGCCGCCGCCGUAC